AGAUUAAAAAAAAAAAAAUUAACGUUUGGUCUUGUCUUGGUUAGUAUAACAGUGAUUCUGCCUUAGGUCUGACAGGAAACAUUUUCUGCUGCCAAAAUUCUUCCAUCUCAUCGACGCACAAAAAUCAGGGACUUACUGUCUUACUGGCUGUGAGGGUCUGUGGAUUCUGUCAAACCUGUAAUAAAGUGACGUUAACUUCUGUGGAAAUAAACUGAAGCAAACCUGCGAAGUGAAACAAGCAUCGAGCCCCCUACUACAAUUCAUGUCUUCAGGGAGCUGGUGGUUCUUCUCUCCGCGGGGCGUGGAAUUUCGUGGUCUUCCGCACCUGCGGGCCCCGGGAGCGUGCGGGCAGGUGCGGGGCAGGAAGGCCGAAAGGCUGCAGGUAGGCCGGGGUGGGGUUGAGGCUGCCUGUGACGGCGGCGGUGACCACGCACUAGGUAACACAUCCUGAGGGUGGGGCGCCCGCGUGGCUGGUCGGAGCGCAGGCCGAUGAGCGGCGGUGAGCCCUUCAGAGGACCCCAGGCCACUAGAAUUGGAAGAGAGGCCGGAAGUGAAGCAAGAGGGCUUUGUGGCUAGCGGGAAGGUGGAACCGCCGCUUUUCCCCAUCAGCUCCAUCGCGGGCACUGGAGUCCUAGCACCUAUAAACUCCAGCACCUCCCGGUGCCUCUCAGCUACAGACUCGACACCACCCCUGCGCUCCGCCCCCGCUCUAGGCCCCGCCCACACGCCUGUCCUUCUUCGCCCCUGGGGCCUCCCUCCUUCCCAGGUCCCUCCUCGCCCCAAGGCCUCCAAUGGGCACCAACUCAGCCCCAGGCCCCGCCCCCACCCUGUCUUACCUCACGCCCUGCUACAGGCUGACCCCAGGCGCCCUCUGGUGGUGCCAGUUUGGCAAUCCUUUCAUCCCUAUACUAUCUAUCUGGCCUACACAGUUGUCCUAGAGUGAGCAUGCUUUCUCAAGGUGUGAAGGAAGCAAAAGCUCUGGUCCUGGGUAGGAGAACGAGAAGAUCUUUGUAUAAUAAACAGAUUGUUAUAGUCAGUUUACAGUUAUGAUGUGCUCUUUCAGUUCAUCAGUUACCGAAAAGCCCGAGGCACUGGGUACCCCUUCUCCUAGUUGGUGGGUCACCCAGUUUAUCUCACAGCUCUGGAGAAUUGGAGAGCUACUAGUAGCCUGCUGAGCGCUAGAUCAGAGAAGGGGACACUCUCAAGCCCGAAAUUAUGGAUAAACCAAAGGAUGAAGAAUUUGGAAAGGGGGAAAGUCCUGGUCUAUAUAAAGAGAGGAUGAAAAUUUUCCGAUGUCACGGGAAAAGCCACCGUCUUCCUUCAAAUCAGUACACCAGCCGUGUUUGGCUUUUCUUGGUGCUUGUUGCUUUCUGCAGAACUGAAUAUUAAAAACUUAUUGGUUUUCGAA
rnacentral:sRNA from 1 species